GGCAAGCAAAAUGGGGACUUGGAGCCAAUGGGGUAUGAUGAAAAGGCCUAACUCCCUUCUGUCCCCAUUUUGGGGCACUGGCCUGCUGAGCCCAUCUCCCUGGAAAAUUGCCUUUGUAACUGCGUGACACCUAGGAGAGCAUAAUAGCAUGUUUCCCCAAGUAGCCUCUCUGUGAAAAGAGACUAAGUCAGGAGCGAGGGAGAGAGAGGGAGGGGCAGGCGGGACACUUUGCCGCUGACACAGGUAGUAGCUGUUUCUCCAUCUUCAGAUGCUGCCAAGGUAAGUGAAGCCUUGUCUCGUUUGCUAAACGAAGGGCAAGCAGCUGGGGCGGGCAGACGGGGAGCGGGAAGCCUGGCCGUGAUUCAGGCACGCGGGGCUUGCUAAACCAGUGUGUUUUCGAAGGUGGCAGAAAGGGGAAGUGGGAAGAGAAUGACUAAUAAGGAAGUGAUUAUGAAACAGAACCUGUCUGCGCCUGGAAGCCCGUGUGACAGCCCCAGGCAGGAGAGGGAGCAAGCCUGUUAUUAGGACUGACGAACACACAAGCGCUGCGUCACUCCAGGCCGCGCCACUGCCCCCAUCUAAAGCCCAGUGCAAGUGUCCCUGCUGCCUCGGGAGUGGGCCACACAGGAACAAAGUACUGUAGACCGACACAGGACCUGCUCUGUCAGAGCACGUGCGGAAGGGGCCUGACACGAACAGAACCGAAGGGACGCAAAACGAAAGGACCAGGAGCCUAAUUAGAAAGAAAAUACAGCAACAUCGCAGAAAACGCCAAUUAAAGGGGGAAAAUCCACGGUGUUCUACCUCCCCAACGAAGGUAUUUUCCUCUUGCAGAAGCUCUUCUAGCCUUGCCCGCACACACACAUUUCUACAAAAUUUUCAGCGUGCUCAGAACUUCGUGCUGCCUUUUCCAUUUGUCCCCAUUUAUAAACAGUUCCCAGUGUUACUUUAUACUCUUCUUAUCGCUGGUAAUUGCUCUAAAAGAGUCCAUCUACUGAAUAUACCACAAUUUGCUGAAAUAGUCCUCUAUUCUGUAGUAGGUUGCUUUCUUUGUAACAACAGCUUUAUUGAGAUGUAACACGGUUGAAGGGCACAGUAGUGUGGAGUAACUUUUACACAAUCAUCAGCAAGUAAAACAGGCUGGGAACAUUCGCCAUUACUGUUAGGAGAGGUUCCUGUUCUCCGAGAACGCCAUGGAAGAGUGCAAGGGAGGAGAGGCAGGAUUUUUCUCCGACCCCGCGUCGCUCUCCAGUUAUUACCUAGUUAUUGCCUCCUUUAUGGCGAAACUUGGCAGCGUGCUUACAUUUACUGUCCAUCCUUCCUCACUUGGAGUUGACUCUUAGAACUGAGCUUCUGAUCUUAUCCCCCCUUGAAAACACUCUCCCCGGGGUCACCAGCUCUUCGGCCCCCACCUUAUUUGACCUAUCGGCUGCAUUUCUCUCUUAACCACUCCCUUCUUUAACCCGUCUUUUCCCUACAUGCAUUGAGUAGGAUAGAUAUUGAUUCGCCACAUUUAAGAGACCCAAAGAAAAAUCGUUGCCUAAAAAGUGUAGGAUUUCACUUCCCUUUCAUUGCAAACACUGGAGUCGGUAAUUUGGCUCUGCUCUGUGACAUGGUCAGAGGCCCCGGUUUUUUACAUCUUCUUGCUCCAACAUUCCUGGCUCUUUCCCCUGUGUGCAUGGUCCACGAUGGCUCUUCACCGCUGCUUCAUUCCGCCAUUGGAAAAGGUGGAAAGACCGGGGAGAACGUGCCCCUUCCCUUUCAGAGAAAUCACCUGUAGUCGCGAACACUUCUGUUCCGAUCCCAUUAGCUUGAACGUAGUCAUAUGCAGCUGCCACAGAGGCUGGGAAAUGUAGCCUUCAGCUGGAUGAACAUGAACCCUGUCAAACAUUCUACCACCAUGGAAGAGAGAACAGAUGUUGGAUCUACCCAUGUGGAUGUCAUACCCACCCAUGUGACUACUACCACCCAGACUUCUUCUAUGUAUUUAGGGACAUAAUGAUAUUUUUUAAAGAUGGGAUCAUACCGUAUAUGUGUGUUGGUAAACAGACUCCCCCUUCCCCUCGUUAGUGUAUUGUAAAAGUCUGUGUCAAUAAAUACCCUUAAAUAACAUGACUUUUCAUGUUAGAUAAUGGAAUAGCAUAUGUGUAUGCCAUAAUGCCCUUUAUUAACCGUUAGGUCAUUUCAGUUUGUCCUUUAUGAGUAAUAUGAGGAUGGACAUUCUUGUGAUUUCUUUAAAAUCAAUUUCCUGAUGUGGAAACGCUGGACCAAAAAUCAUUUUGAUAGCUUUUACUACAUAUUCUCCUCCAGAUCCGGCUUUUCUUUAGUCCUAAUGCUCAAUUUUUUCAACAAACCUGAUUCAAGUGAAAGCCCUUUGUUAAUUUAAGUGAUUAGAUUUUUUCUACUGGAUUGAGAUGUAAUUACAUAUAAUGAACUACACCCUUUUAAAGUGUGCGCUUUGGUGACUUUUAAUAGGAAUACACAUGUGUAGAAAUCACAGCCACGAUUAAGAUAUAGAACAUUUCCAUUGCCCCCCAAAGUCUCCUUAUGCCCCAUGUGGUAAUUUCCUCCUCCACCCCUGGGCUCCACAUUGCUGAUCUGUCUUGUCACCACACAGAUUAAUUUACAUUUUCUCGAAUUUUAUAUGAAUGGCAUUAUAUAAUAUGUACCCUUUUGCUUCUGGCUUCUUUGACUCAGUGUAAUGACAGACAUCAGCAGCGUGUUCCUUUUUAUUGCUAGCAGUGUUCUGGUUCAUAGAUAUGCCCUAUUUAUCCACUCACCCACUGAUGGACAUUUGUGUUGUUUCCAGUUUUUAGCUCAUAUGAAUAAGACUGCUCUGAACAUUUGUGUACUGGUCCUUGUGUGGGCAUUCGUUUUCAUUUCUCUUGUGUAAAUACCUAGGAGUGGAAGGACAAGGUCCACAAUAUUCACAGUAAGUGAAUAUUGAAUUAUCUAAAAUAUUUAUUUAUUAAAUAGACAUUUUUAGAGCAGUGUCAGCAACACUGAGUAGAAAGAACAGAGCUCCCAUAUAACUCUAUGGCCACGCACCACAGCCUACCCCUUAUCAACAUCCCUCACCAGGGUGGUAUAUUUGUUGCAAUCUAUGAGCCUGCAUUUACACAUCAUUACCAACCAAAGUCCAUGGUUCACAUUAGGGCUCACUCUCGGUGUUGUACAUUCUAUGGAUUUCGACAAAUGUAUAAUCACACAUAUCUACCAUUAUAGUGUCAUACAGAAUAAUUUCACUGCCCUAAAAAUCCUCUGUGCUCCUACUAUUCAUCCCUCCUUUCCCACUGGCCCCUGAUGAUCACUGAUCUUUUCACCAUCUCCAUGGUUUUGCCUUUUCCAGAAUCUCAUAUAGUUGGAAUCGUACAGUAUAGAGCCUACUCAUAUUGGCUUCUUUCACUUAAUCUGUCAUGAAGUCUUCAUAGCUUGAUGGCUCCAUUCUUUUCAGCACUGAAUACUAUUCCAUUGUCUGGAUGUACCGCAGUUUAUACAUCCAUUUACCUACUAAAAGACCUUGAUUGCUUCCGAGUUUGGGCUAUUAUGAGUAACGAUGCCAGACGACUUUUCAGCUCAUUUGACUUACAACCAAAGAACACAAUUUCUGGGUCAUAUGUUAAGAGUAUGUUUAGUUUUAUAGGAAACUUCCAAGUGAUCUUCCACGUAGGUCUACCAUUUGGCAUCAUCAACAGCAGAGAAUGAGAAUUCUGUCUCUCCACAUCCUCCCAAACAUUUGGUGUUGUCGGUGUUCUGGAUUUUGGCCAUUCUCAUAGGUGUGAGGUGGUAUCUUAAGUUGCAUCUCCCUAAUGAAGAUGUGGAGUAUCUUUUCAUAUGUUUCUUUGCCAUCUGUAUGUAUUCUCUCUCUUUUUAAAAAAAAAAAAUAUUUAUUUUGAGAGAGAAAGAGAGAGUGGGGGAGGGGCAGAGAGAGAGAGAGGGAGAGGGAGAGAAUCCCAAGCAGGCUCUACGCCGUGAGUGCUCAACUGACUGACCACCCACAGGCACCCCGUAUUUGUAUGUAUUCUUUGGUGAGGUGUCUUUCUGCUGAGAUUUUAAUCAGGUUGUUGGUUUUCUUAUUUUUGAGCUUUAAGAGUUCUUUGCAUAUUUUGCAUAAUAGUCCCUUAUCAGAUAUGUCUUUUGCAAAUAUUUUCUCCCAGUUCUGUGGCUUUUCUCUCAUUCUCUCAACACUGUCUUUUGCACAGCAUGCAUUUUUAAUUUCCAUAAAGUCCAGCUUACCAAUGACUUCUUUCAUGUACCUUUGGUGUCGUAUUUAAGAAAUCAUCGUCAUACCCGAGGUCAUCUAGAUUUUCUCCUAUAUUAUCUCCUAGGAGUUUCAUAGGUUUGCAUCCUACAUUCAGGUCUCUGAUCCAUUUUGAAUUAAUUUUGGUGAAGAAUAUAAGGCCUGUGUCUAGAUUCGUCUUUUUGCAUGUGGAUGUCCAGUCAUUCCAGGACCAUUUGUUGAAAAGACUAUCUUUUGCAUAUUGUAUUUGCUUCCAUUCCUUUGUCAAAUAUCAGUUCAUUGUAUUUAUGUGAGUCCGCUUCGGAGCUCUCGGUUCUGUUCUAUUGAUUUAUUUGUCUGUUCUUUCAGCAAUACCACACUUACUGUAGCUUUAUUAAAAAACUAGGGGCGCCUGGGUGGCUCAGUCGGUUGAGCGUCCGACUUUGGUUCAGGUCAUGAUCUCACAGCUCAUGAGUUUGAGCCCCGUGUCAGGCUCUGUGCUGAUGGCUCUGAGCCUGAAGCCUGCUUCGGAUUCUGUGUCUCCCUCUCUCUCUGCCCCUAACCCACUCGCAUUCUGUCUCUGUCUCUCUCAACAAUAAAUAAACAUCAAAAAAAACCUUUUUUAAAUAAAUGAAUAAAAGUCUUGAAGCUGGGGAGUGUCAGUUCCCCAACUUUGUUCUUCUCCUUUAAUAUACUAUUGGCUAUUCUGUUUUCUUUGGCCUUUCUGCAUAAACUUUAGAAUCAGUUUAUCGAUAUCUACAAAAUUAACUUGCUAGCAAAUGUAUUUAAUGCCACCUAACCAUAUCUUUAAAAACGGUUAAAAUGGUAACUUUUAUGUUACAUAUAUUUUACCAUCACAAAAGAAAUAAAGGAAAGAAGAAAUAGAGCAUAUAGGAGAUGAAAACAUUUUCCUUGCCCUUCUUAGGGUCCCUGGAAUUACAGUAACAAGGACAGGUUAACAGAAGAAAUGCACAUAAAUUUAUUUAAGUUUUACGUGACAUGGGAGCCUUCAUAAGGAAAUGAAGAUCCAGAGGAACAAUUAGACCUGAGUAUUUUUAUGCUAGGUUUGAUGACGAGUGGACAAUCGCGGAGGAAUAUGAUAGGUUAAUAUGUUGAGGUAAGUAUAGUAAACUGGGGAAAAAUUAACGAGACCUGUUUGGGGGGAUUCUUUUUAUAAGGUUGUUCCUUUCCUCCAGGUGUAGGGAGGCUACCUCUCACAUGCGAGUUUUACGACCAGUUUCAAGGAAGAAGGGUGGCGGAGGGGAGGGGAGUCAGAGUGACCUUCCUGCUUUUGCCAGUUUCUCAAACUCUUUCGGCUUAAAAUAUAUUCAAAAUGCCAAUAUUUUGGCAUUCUAUAUUUUGGGAUAGCAUGUCCUGAUCCCCAGCAAGGGCAAGAGAGAGAAAGGGGAAGGAAGAGAAUAAGGAAAGCAGGCAGGCACACAUCUGGGAGCGGUCCUACGUUCCAACACAGCAGCAGAACGUGGUGUCACAAAAGUCUAUGAAAAACUAAAGCAGCCCGUCUUCAGCCCUAAAACUGCGAAUUCUCAACCCAAGAGGAAGUGUUUCAUUUUGUUUCAUUUGCAUAUUAAUGCAAUGCAAAUAGCAGGAGGGUAGGACGGGAAUGGGGGAGAAAGCGCCACCAGCCAGUGAACACUUGGUUGCAAAGUUGAGCACAGCACGUCAGUGUGAAGGGCGUGAAGGUAACAGACGAGGAGCCAUAAGGUCUGGUGAAAUACAGUCAGCUUAUUCCAAAGAUCUGAGGACAGACAGAAAUGUUACAACAGACAGACAGCAGCAGGCUCGGUGGGCGUCAGGACGAGACAGGUCAGAGUUCAACUGAGGUGCUGUCCGUGACCGUGGCAGGCAGCGAUGUGCGAGGGGGGAACACACUGGCUGGGAAAGCCCCCAUGCGCUGCCCGGAAAGGAGCGCUGGAGUGAACACGAGGUUUCACAUCUGCCCUGGAAGAGGGCGCAGAAAAUUGGAACAUACCCUUAAAAACUCACACUGCAUGAACUGGUGGUUUGUUUCUGCACCCAGCUCUGUUGAAGACUGGAGUGCUAUUUAGGUGUCUUUUUGCCUGAAAAGAAAAAAAAAAAAAACAGUUUUGUUUUGUAUUGGCGAGGCCAGAACAAAGACUUCUCUCUGAGAUACUUCCAGCAUUGUCUUCAGAUGCUGUCUCUCGGGGUCUGCCUGGUUCCAAUUGUGGACAGAAUGUGUAUUAGAUGCUGUGCGCUUCCUGGCUGCGUUGGCCUUCCUCUUUCCCAGCAGCCGUCUCCCACCCCCNCCACCCCCCACCCCCGAGCUGGACCCUGCUUCUCAUCCGUCUCUCCCUGCCAUGCACCUGUUCUGGUGUUCUGUUCCACCCAGCCCUCACUACAAACGUAGAGAGAGAAGACUGGAGAUUAAGGAGGUGCAAGGCAGUGGAAAGUAUACCUUGAAGAAGCCGCAGACAGAAGAGGGCAGGGGUCUGAUGAUGGUGGCGGCGUGGGGGAGAAUGGGCCAUGUCCGCCAGAGGCGAGGGAUGGGGAACCACCUACUGCAUUUUUGGACUGGUACUAUUCCCUCUCUUCAGUUUCUUUCCCUUCAAUGAUAGUCACGUCCGGUUCAUUCUCUCCUGGGGUCCGAUUCUAUGCAAGGUGACUAUCUUAGCUCCCUAAGGCUGUCCUAACAAACUACUCCAGACUGGGUGGCUUAAAACAACCGAAAUGUAUGCUCUCAUGGUGCUGGAGGCUGGAAGUCUGAAAUCAAGGUGUCGGCAGCGUUGGUUCCUCCUGCGGACUCUGAGAGGGAAUCGGCGCUCAAACUGGGGGUUCGGGGAUCCUGGAGGAACGAAGGAUAGCUUAGGAGGAUUUCAACAUUUUGUCUUUGCGCUUCAAUAAAAACCUUCAAGCACACGUACGCAAACAAACUCGUCCGGGUCACCUGGAUGGACACGGGAGAACUGAAUGCUGCUCACAAUUUCAGCAGAAGUUUUUUUGCUCUUGCAUUUCUCACCUUUUGGGGGUGUCUUGAAGUGCUGUUUGGCCGUCACGGGCUGCUGAGGAACGGGUGUAAGUCACAGAGGAAGAGGUCCCAGAGCAAAUCCCACAGAGGCUGGCAGCUUACGCACAUGAGAAGAGCCAGGAGAGUGGAGUUGGGAAGCCCAGCUCAGGUGACAGGGGACUGCCAUUCACCCCCCCCCCCCCCGACCCUGCGGUCCUGUGGGGCUGGUUCUUCCAGCCUUUCAAGAGGAGUGGGAACAGAGCAUUUUAGGUGUAAUGUCUUCAUUCUUUUAUAACGGCAGCUAAUUGGAAAAAAUGAAUCCUAUGAGGGUCAGGUGAAACACGUCCAUCCACGGGCCACAUGUAGCCUACAGCCCUCCAGGUUACAAUGUCCAGACCCGAGAAAGGUUGUCGGCAAGUUGAACCAUCGCGCGGCACAUGGUGGGUUCGGGAUGCGCAGCUCAAAAGAACCCCGUCCUAGAAACUGGUGUUUCAAGAAGCCGAAUUAAUUUCAGCAAAAUAACAGCAUUAAUCACAAGAGCCAACUUUAGUUCUGUUGGUUUUUCUCGACUUGUACUCUUGCCUUUGGUCGUAUAGUUGUAAAGAGUGUAUUUAUCGAUAUUUAAGAAAGGUCCUCAUUUCAGUAAUUUAAAUCAAUGGUGAAAAUCUGUGGGAUAUUGUCAUUUUCGAGUCCAAGAAAUCACGUCCUAUCUUCUCUAACCUUCACAGAAAUCCUUAGGAAUAUGCAUUAUGAUUCCCACUUUAUAGGCGAGAAAAUAGACUCAGAGGUUAAGCGAGCGUCCCAGACUCACAUAACUAAUUCCAGGCAGCGCUGGGAUUUGAACCCAGGCAGGGCUGUCUCCAAAGCCCACGGUUUCAAUACCGACUCCCUAACUAGCAGUGCUGGACUUGUGAAUGACGCUGUGACUCUCCCACCUGAGUCCUCCUACCCUCUGAAGAUUUAGGGUAGACAAGGGGACUGGUCAAGACGCGGACAUCCGGGAUUCAGGUCUCCGAGGGACGAUUUCAGAAGGGCUUAAGAGGAAUCUGUGAUCAGAACAGUUAUCAACGAUCUCUCAGUUCCACCGCUGGUCAUCUUGAGCUUUAUGGCCUGCAAAUCCAACCACCAUUUAUAAUUUUGUUUUUAUGGAUAAAUAUCACACCAGUUCCAACAAACAUUUGGAGCCAGCCGAAUGUAAUCUAAACUGCUUAUGGUCAGAUCAGGUCUGUGGCUGAUCAGGAAUCUGCUGAGAAGAUGGUAUUUAAGUCCCUUAUGGGUGGAUUAGUGUUCUCUCUGACUCAUGUCCCACACUGUCCCCCCCCCCCCCCCCAGCUUUGUCUGCUACUGCAUGAAGGGCCUGGAAUCAGAAAAGUUUAGUAUAGGCUCAUCAGCACACCUGGGCAGCGGGACCUGAAAGACGUACGUACUUGGCCAAAGACACUAACCCAUGCACGGGGGAGAAACCGGGCAGGAAGUGCAGUAAAAUUUUUAGCAGUGGUUGUCUCUGGGCUGGUAGCAUUAUGGGAGAUUUAAAUUUUCUUCUUUAUGCUUUUCUACGAUAUCAAAACAAUGUAUUGCUUUUGAUAUGAAGAAAAAUUAUUUUUGGAUGAAAGAGAAAGGCAUCGAUGAAAAAAAAAAAAAAAACAACUCACUCCUGGCAGUGGGGAAGGAACACUAUUGCCACACACAGCCAUCUGUUACGUCUUUCUAAGUGUCCCCCAGUGGAAGAAGACAAUAGGAGUCACAGAUUGGAUUUGGAGUAAAAUUUGGACAAUUGUGACGGCUGGAUGCGUUCCAAGGCACUUGUUAAAGAUGUAGGCAGCGACACACGUCUUUGUUUCUUCCCCAUCGACUCCUAUCCAGCUGAGCACUUACUCCUCCCUCCUUCCCCCCACCCAAGCCUGGGCUCUUUCCCCUCCUUCAAGGGACUGGCACUUGAAAGGGAAGUGUGUGUGGUCCCCCAAAAUAAAGGUGGUGCCUGCUCCUUAAUCCACUGUGGUUGUCCUGGGCGGAAGGCCCCUUCUGCCACCUGCUGCUGCCACGGGCAUUGGUUCUGUACCCUUGGUGGGCACCUCUCCACACCGUAGGUGGCCGUCGUGUGAGCGUAUGGGCACCUCCUCACUGACACGGGCCCUGCCUUGAACCCUUCUGCAGCCAUCAGUGGCUCCUUCUCGCAGGUACUAACAUAACUUUCUGCUGGGGACCCAUGCCCCCCACAUCCACAUCCUCCUUUUAGUAUUGAGUCUGCAACCCCUCCCAGCCCUUCAAAGCCCCCCCACCUCCCAUCUCAAAUUCCCAGUCUCCACCUCCCUGCUCCAACCCUUCCCCAUUUCGGGUAACUCCCAGCCCUCCUUAGAAGGGCCCCCAAUGACCAAAUUGACCAAAUAGAGACCUGCGUGGGGGUUGCCUUUUCAGCAGCCUUUAAACCACAGAAAAGCCAAUCAUUCUCCACGGGAAAAGUGGGCCCAGAACUGAAGAACACAAAAUCCUGGCUCUUUGCCGUGAAGGAGGGAAAGGAGGAAAUUGCUUUACUCUUCUUUGCUCAGGGGUCGAAAGCAGCAAAAUGAAUCACUAACUGGGUGCUUACGUGCAAACAAAAUCUGUAACUACAGAAAUGACUCCAAUUGCCCAGGUUAUCUGGGCGUAGGGGAGGGGCAAGGGGACCGUCUCCUCCUCCCAACGUAUUCUCCAAUGUCGCUUGCCUUCCACAUGUUAUGUGGUAGAAAGCACGGAAUGUCAAAUUUACCGUCUUCACCGUGUUAAAAUGUACAGUUCAGUGGUAUUAAGUACGUCCACACUGUUGGGCAACCAUCCCCGCCGUUUAUCACCAAAGCUUUUUCAUCUUCCCAAACUGAAACUCUUGACCCAUUAGACACGAACUCCCUCCCCCCUGCCUUCCCACAGCCUGUGGCAACCACCCUUCUCCUUUCUGUCUCUAGAAAUUCAACUACUCUAAGUACUUCAUACACAAGGAAUUGAACAGUAUUUGGUUUUUUGGUGACUGGCUUAUUUCAUUUAGCACAAUGUUCUCCAGGUUCAUCCAUGUGGCAACAUGGGUCAGAAUUGCCUCCCUUUUUUUUUUUUUUUAAUGUUUAUUUUUUUUUGAGAGAGAGAGAGAGACGGAGACAGAGAGUGAGCGGGGGAGGGGCAGAGAGAGAAGGAGACACGGAAUCCGAAGCAGGCUCCAGGCUCUGAGCUGUCAGCACAGAGCCCGACGUGGGGCUCCAACUCACAAACCUCGAGAUCAUGACCUGAGCCGACGUCAGAUGCUUAACCGACUGAGCCACCCAGGCGCCCCAGAAUUUCCUCCUUUUUAAAGGGGUGGGUAGUUCCACUGUUUGUGUGUGUAUCACAUUUUGUUCAUCCAUGGAGCCAACAAUGGGCGUGGACGCUUCCUACCUUUCGGUCUUGUGAAUGAUGCUGCUACGAAUAUUGAAAUAUAAAUAUCGCUUCAAGUUCCUGUUUUCCGUUCUUUGUGUUUCAGCAGUUUUUUUCACGGUCCUGUAUUGACAAAAUGGUGGUUAAGUCUAUGUCGAAGACCAUAGGAUAAAAUUAAGUCCAUGACGUAGGGAGAAGCUGGUCCAACCAAGACUCUUUUGAUGCUCCUACCUCUGCCACUGGCAGUGAAUUUCUCAGUGAUUCCCCCACAUAAAUCACUUGAAGAUACGCAAAUAAGAACCCUGAGAAAAGACAAAGAGAUUUGGGGGGGUUUCAGUGUGCCCAGGAGUGGACUCAGGUGACUUCCCCUGAUCUAAGGUAAUCUUGAUGGAUUCCUUUUUGAAAAUCAAGUGUUGACUAGGUGACGCUCCAGGACCCAGGCUACAUUUCUGGCUUGUCAUCCAUCAUCUGGGCCCUGUGACCCCAAUCAGAGCAGGAGGAAAACCCACUGAGGCAGGAGCAAAAACAUUAGCUGUCUCUACAUCUUGCCUCUCCCACCUCAGAGAGGGACAUGGCCUCAGGAAACGUCUCCAGUCUUCUUUUACUUCUUUACCUUUUUUUUUUUUUUAACGUUUAUUUAUUUUUGAGACAGAGAGAGACAGAGCAUGAACGGGGGAGGGUCAGAGAGAGGGAGACACAGAAUCUGAAACAGGCUCCAGGCUCCGAGCUGUCAGCACAGAGCCCGACGCGGGGCUCGAACUCACGGAUCGUGAGAUCAUGACCUGAGCCGAAGUCGGCCGCUUAACCGACGGAGCCACCCAGGCGCCCCUACAUUUUUUUUUUUUUAUUCAGCUCUGUCUUUUUUGUGAAGCCAAGUGGUGAAAACAUUUUGAACAGCCUCAGCAUUAACACCAAAUGAGACCAACUUUGCUUUCAUUUUUGUUUUUAAAGAAUUAAGUCAGGCAUCUGAAAUCUGAAGGGUGUUAACUCACUGAAACCCUGCAAGGGGUUUCCUGACAUAGCUUUGCUUUUCACCAACAACCAGGGCAGAGAGGUCGGGGGCGGGUGCAGGGGGGGAGGCAACGGAAGGGAUCUUUGGAGACAAACUGUAACAGGGCUGCUACUUGGGAUGCUAGGUUAAAAGUCAAUUCAACUUGAGGGCUAAAUCUCAGCAAAUAUUAUUUUUACAUGAAGAUAAACACGAAUAUAUUCUAGAAAGGAAGACAAAUUUUCCAUUCAGAAGACUAAGAGGGAACGGAAACUUAAAGCAAACCAGCUGGGUCAUGAGCCCCAGGACCCAGGGAUAUGCAUGUACUCUUAUCUGCGUAUCUGGAAACGUCACUGAAGAACACUUGAGAAGGUACUAGUAAGUAGCCUUGGCCCCUCUCUCCACGUCAUGACUUUUCACCAUCAGUUCAGUAUUAGCCAGUGUGGUAGUCACUAUAGCAAGCGAGCUCCAAAUCUCAGUGGUUUAACACACACAAAAAAGUUUAAAUUUUCACUCACUUCAUAGUCCGGGAAAGAGGGGGGUGUGGUAUGAGAGACUGCUCCAUGCCAUCAUUCAGCGCCCCAGGCUCCUUCCAUCUUGUGGCCCUGUUAUCACCUAGGGUUCUAGAAUCCUCUACUGGGUCCUCUACAUUCAGCCAGCAGCUCAGUGAAGAGAGAGGGGGUCGAGGAUCUCACAGAAAGAUUGAAGAAGCCAGUGAUUUCCUCAGAGUGGCUUCCAUCCCUCCACUAGUCUCUGGCCAGGACUAGUUACACGGUCCCUACAGUGCAAGGUGGCGGGGAGAUGCCCGGUGCCCACGGGAGGAGCAGCGCACACAGGUAUGGGUGGGCACCGGCAGCUUCUAGCUCAAGGGAGCUGGCUUAUUCUUUUUAACGUUUUAGUUUACUCUCCCUGGGUAGCAGAGAAUGGCCCACUCAUAAAUCCACACCAGGUUCUCGGCCAGCCUCUGGUCGUUUAUCACAGCCUUCUGUUCUCGAAGCUGCCAGGUCUCAUGGGGCCAGACAGGGGCUGAAUUUUCUGCAGCAGUGGGGAAAGUGGCCCUUUCCCAGUUCUGCAACAGAUCAUCACGUGGUACAGUGGCGACACAGCUUAGCAGCUUUGUUUGGGCACCCCGCCUUCACCCUCCGCCUUACAAUCUCACCCCAAUAUCAUAGAUCACUGUACAAGAACAGCUUCUCCAGCUUUUGUUGUGAACCUUUCUCUCUUAGAAGGGCCUCCAAACUGUCCACAGAACCACGGAGAGGCACAGCCACCUACACCCUGUCCCCUGGCCAGGAAACAUCCAACACUAGGUACCACCUCUCCCUUGUAGCCAACUGCAAGGAUUCCAAGCCGCUGAAAUAAACCAAAGAGUUGGAUCCCAUCUGCCUCUGCAGGGCACCAAACAAACCAGGACAAGUCUGAAGUGCCUGGUUGAGGCUCAAUUAGCCAUCUAACCAAUUAUCUGUUAUUUCCUCAGUUACAGAUGGAGGGGAAAAAAUGAACGAUGGGGUGCAUGUGGGAAAAUCAGAUAAGGUGGAUUAUAACUCAGAGGCAGCAUACACAGCAGCCGGACUGAGCUUCACGGCCACGCAAUGAUGGUUACAGCGUUGGGAGAACAAGAUGGGCUCUGGCACAGAGGACGAGAGGGAAAGGGCUGAUCUUAGGGACAUUCCUUAGGAAACGGUGGCCAGUCUGCUGAUGGAUGAAAUGUGUCAGAGUCCUUGGCAAAAGGACUUCUAUUGAAUCUGAAGCUGUGCGGGCAUCUUUGAAAAUACUGGUGUUAAUCCAAGCCUAUUAGUGCCACUGCAUUUUUAUUUCCUUUUCUCUCUUCUGUUUAUUAUUUCUUAUUGCCCACACUAGUCCUGAAUGGGUUACCCGCCAUUUUACAUUCAAGCAACGCAAAUAUUUUUUAAAAUUAUUUUUCCAUGUUUUUUUAAAAUUUUUUUUAACCUUUAUUUAUUUUUGAGACAGAGAGAGACAGAACAUGAACGGGGGAGGGGCAGAGAGAGAGGGAGACACAGAAUCGGAAGCAGGCUCCGGGCUCUGAGCCAUCAGCCCAGAGCCCGACGCGGGGCUCAAACUCACGGACCGCGAGAUCGUGACCUGAGCUGAAGUCGGCUGCUUAACCGACUGAGCCACCCAGGCGCCCCAAUUUUUCCAUGUUUAUUUAUUCUUGAAAGACAGAGAGAGGCAGAGCGUGAGCGGGGGAGGGGCAGAGAGAGAGGGAGACACAGAAUCUGAAGCAGGCUCCAGGCUCUGAGCUGUCAGCACAGAGCCCGACACGGGGCUCGAACUCACGGACCGUGAGAUCAUGCCCUGAGCCGAAGUCAGGCGUUUAACCAACUGAGCCACCCAGGCGUCCCACAACAUAAAUAUUUUUAACCACAGUGAGGUCACAUCCUAACACUAUUAAUUGGCCUUUUGUUCAUUUUGGGUGAGAGGAGAAAUUAUCCAGGUCUUCAUGUAGAUCUUAAUUGGGCUUGAAUAGAAAAAUCAUUUUAUUUUCUCCUUUAAAAUUUGUUAAGCAUCAUACCAUGCUAACAUUUCCCUGGGGGGCUCAAAUGAUGCUUGAGGGAGUAGUGGAUGGAGGGAACAUUCCCCCCUCCUCCCCAAUUUUCCAUUUACGGUCCUCCUUCCACAUCACUUCCUCCAAAAGUAAGUCAUCUCGUGGGUCAGUCAGAGUUCACAAUUUCUGAAACACCGCAUGGGGUCUGCCCUCUUGCUCCACGGCAAAUCUGUCAUGCAGCAGCUGGUCCCUUUUCCUCACCUGUAUAAUGAAGCGUACGAUCUAUUACAACCUUGGUCCAAGGCCGAAUUUCUGUUCACAAGACCCUGUCGUCUUUGGAUGAACUGUACUGUUUAAGAGCCAAGAUUAUAAUGAAACACUGGCUUGGCAGUCCACAACGGUGGGAAUUAGGAAACAUAGAAAAACUUUCUUCGACAGUGAACAAAGACAUUUAGAAUACCCAGCGUUACUGCUUCUGAGCUGUCAGUGGAGGUGGCCUCCUUUCGUUCACAAUACUGACUUUCCAAGCCUGGAUCCUCAUACAUUUAUUGAACGACUCGUCUUGAGAUCGGUCCAAUGCUCUUCUUUCAGAUCUGUCAAAACACCACCUCUUCCAAGAAGUUCACUAAAAUUAAGUGGAAGUGAAGUAAUGAUCUUCCUUCCUUAUUCUGCUGCCUUGGAACAGCCUCUCAUCUCACAGCACCAAAACUGGAACCAGCUAUUUACUUCAUCUCCAGAUGGGUUCCUUUAUCUAUAAAUGCAUUACUGUAACAUUUUUCUAGAACAUAAGAGGCUGGCACAGGAGAUAUUUAAGAAUAGAGGCUUUACCUUAGUCAACCUUGCACGUUCUGUAGGGCCUAAUACAUAGGAGGUGCUAACCAGUACUUGGAUGAAUGAAUUUCAUAAGAAAUAGGCCACGGACUCAUCACCCGAAAAGACUCUUGAGAUGCUUUGUGUGAUCCUUGCUGUGUUUCAGGGUUAUUCGAGACCGUGCUUGUGUCUCAGAAAAGAAAGUAUAAAGAAGAGAAACAACUUGGACCUCAGACACGUAGAAACAAAGCCAGACAAGCCCGGCCCUGGAAUGGGCAGUGGCAAUGAUCCAGCCAUUGAUUUCUUGGUAUCUGGACAUUUACAGGAAUGAUGAGAUGCUGCUUUGAUAGUAACUCCAAAUUGCUGCUUCUUAGUCACUUAGCGUCUACAAAAUAAUAUUUUCUUCUAACCCCAAGCCACGAUGGUCAGGACCACAGGGCAAUAUCCUGUAACAAGAGACGUGUGCGUUGUCACAGCAGUUCUCAAAGUGUGUCCCGCCCAGCCACGGUCCCAGGAGCUAUCUGUGCCAGAAAGUCCACAAGGGCCACGUGAGUGGGUCAACAUCACACAUUGCACCACCAUCUUUCAUCGUCAACAGACUCUUCAACUUCAACAGAAGCUGACGUGCUAAAUAGAUCUGAUCAUACAAUCCCAUUUUCCUAUAGUGUCUGACACGUUGCACAGAACACACUUUAAGAGAGAUACCUCUGGGGCCCCUGGAUGGCUCCGUCCGUUGGGCGUCCGACUCCGGCUCGGGUCCUGAUCUCACGGUUUGUGAGUCCGAGCCCCGCAUCGGGCUCUGUGCUGACAGCUCGGAGCCUGGAGCCUGCUUCGGAUUCUGUGUCUCCCUCUUUCUCUUCCCGUCUCCCACGUGCACUCUGUCUCUCUCUCAAAAAUAAAUGAAUGUUAAAAAAAAGAAAAAAAGAAAAAAGAAAGACAUCUCUGUCUGUAGUCCAUUGACGGCAUUUUUACGCAGGUAGAGCAGGGAUUUGCAACCUGCAAUAUGUUUGUGCCAGAAAUGGCGUGCAGGUCCUUGGUUGCCAUUUUCCCUUAUUUUACUGAAAGGUGACCUGACCAUCUGCCACAGGAGUUACAUUUAGCUUCAUACCCUGCAAGCGAGGCUUGGUGGGUAGACCAGAAAGACCUGAAAGCGGGAAACUUGGUUCAUAGCCUUGCAAAGGCUGGCGCCGUGGGGGUAGAGCUGGCAAUCACCAGCUUGGGUCUCAUUCCUAGAGACACAACAAUGUGGUUUUUUUUUUUUGUUUUUUUUUGUUUUUUUUGUCAGGGAUAGACUCUUGGCUGGUCACAGGGACGGGUGGCUGCCAUGGAAACAUAUUUGACUUAUACGUCAGUGGCAGAUCAGAGCCUGGCAUAUUUCCGAUGAAUAUUGGAUUUGAGGGCACAGUCACGGUAUUUGCUGUUACUUUGAAAUUGGGCCACAACCUAGCAGCCUCGUUAGGGAAAUAUGCAUGAUUUUCUUCGCAAAAUUAAAAUAUUCUCAGGGGUUAUUCGGGCUUCCAGGACAAAAAAAAUGUACCAGACACGAGUGUGCGAGCCAGGUUUCCAAGUCUUGGUAGCAGGAAGCUACGGUGUCCUAUUCAGUCACAGCCUUGUGGUUUUCCUGGUGCUCAGGUGCUAGACUGAUGUGUUCUCUGAUGUGUUUCCCCUCCCUCUGUCCUUCUACACUGUGUCCUUUCCCCAUCAGUCAGCCUGACACCCAAGUUGCCUCAGAGAUGAGGAGACGGUGCUAAAAGCUGAGAAAUACGUUAAGAAGUCAGUUCUUUGCCUUUGAUUUCAAAAGCUUAAGUCUCAGGGACAGCAAGGAAAACCCAGAGCAUGAAAAAAUACAUUUGGAAGAAAAACCUGAUGAAGGGACAUAGCUAUCCUGAUCCCCAUUCUCUCACCCAAACUGGAGUUUUCCCAGUGGGAGAAGGAGAGCAGAUUGAAGAAGCAGGAGGCCACUGACGGGUCCUGAAGGCAUGCCCCGCCCUGCUCUCCACUCCACACUGAGAUUUAGAGGAGGCAGGGGAUGAUGGAAGGACCUGGAAGGUGGGAGGGAUUGGAGUGUGUCGAUUUAUGGAAGUGGCAAGAUGGCAGCCAAGAUGUCUUCCGCCUUUCCCAAGUUCUCUGCGAGAGCCACCAGGUCACCAGGUGCCUAUGGGUGGCACUAAAAAGUGGUCAUAGGAGGGAACAAGGGGUCACUCGGCAGUGAAUCAACAAGCAAAACAACAGACACGUGGACAUAGGCACAGCUGGGACCCCUUAGGACCAGGUCAGCACCCUACGAAUGAGAAGAAAAUAUGGAAGGAGCUUGAAGCCCUGACAACUCCACCGGACCAGGCUGCUAUUCCGUGAAGAAGAAAUCAACUCUCUCAUUUAAGAUAUUGUUACUCAGUCUGUCCCGUGCUGGGGCCAAGCACAUUCCUCCAGGCAGACAGACACGCUCGGGUACUGAGGAGGAAGCUGAUGACGGUAUGGAAAGGGCCCCCGAAGCCACAGGAGAUGUCCACGGUAGGCCAAGGAGAUAGGCAGGGCACCAACAGCAUCUGCCGCACAGCCACUCACCCAUGCCUCCCUUCUUCUGUCUAUUAUAAUGGCAUUCGUCACGUCACUGUGAAGUAGAUUUUCUGCCCGUCUGCUCUAUGAAUCAAGGCUCGUGUUUGUAAGUGAAGAAAACCCCAAUUUCAAUGAACUUAAACAAAAAAGAGAGCCUGUUGGUUUGUGGGACUGCAAAGUGAGAUAUCCAGCCAUUUCAGAUGACAUCCAGGGGCUCAAGUCCCAUAAUCACACCCUUGCUCUGAGUCUCUCUCACCCGUCUCAAGAGUUUGUGUGGAGUUCACUCUCCAGCAACCCGUCCUCCCACCCCACGAUGGCGGACGGGGCUGAAACCUCGAACCUUCCAAACUUUGGGUCUUUCUGAGGCGACCGAGGGACCCCGCCCGCCCUAUGUCACCUCCCUGGCAUAAACUCAAGGGUGACGGAAAGGAGCUCAUCACGAAAAACAACAGACAGUCCCCUGACGAAGUUCCAGGGGUUUUGGAAGCUCGGCACUAGGAACCAGAGACAAAGGCCAGAUAUAUUUCUUACUAUACCGCAAGAAGACCACGUUCACAGUGUGCCUCAGGCCCGCCACAGCGGCCGGCACAGUGGGCAAGCAGUCAACAUUUGCUCAGUGAGUGAGUGAGCUGAUGCAUGAACGAAUACGUAUUUCCUCCGGAGUGCGGGAGAAGCUCCCCCAAGUGCCGGGGUGCCAGAGUUGAGCGCUGGCCUUGGAGCCACUUGGAUACUCAACAAGGGCGUGUGCCAGUUUUCCAGGAGAGCCGUGGGUGGAUUUGGAAGUAUGUCUCUCCCCACCACAGGAGAAGUAGGCUUUUGGUUGGCUCCCUGAGUGGCUGGCUGGUCCCGAGGCACCCCUGGAGAAGCGGCCGUCUAUGGGACAAAAGGGGCUAAGGCCACCUCGUUUCUAGUUUCCAGGCCAGCCCAGCAGCCCCUUCCUGCUCCUCCUGGGCAAGACAACCGCAGAUGGGGCUUCAAGGAACUUGGUGCUGGCAGCUGCAGGAACCUCCGAGAAGCAGCCUCUUAGUAAUUAGUCACUGGAAAAAGAGACCCGAACCCUCCAGAAAGCAGUCACAUGGGAUUGUGUAGCCCUAAUCCUGAAGAGAACUUUUCUCCCCCCCUAAGAAAUAGAUUCCCAGAAAUAUUGAGGUAACAGGUAAUGCAUGUAACUGAGAAUUCCUUUCAGGCGGUUGGGGGAUGGGGAAAAAUAACCAUGUUAAUGAUUCCAUUCAGUCGCUUUCCCAUCUGUUGUCUUAAAGAAAAAAAAAAAUCAAAGAUAGGCAUAUCAUUUCUGCUAUUGCCAAAACCAAAGAAGAGUGACUACCAUCAUAAAUAAGAAACCCAGGUCUUAUUUCAUUGACAUUAAUGCUCAAAGGACUAUAAAAAUAAAUCAAAAGAGUAUUCAGAGUAUAUGAAAUCUGCAUAUAUUUUCAUCAAAUAAUGCAAAUUAAAAUAAAGGUGAUAAAAUUAACCAUUUUCAAUGUUCAUGUUCCCAAAGAUGUCUUCUAAAAAUUAGAAAUUUGUCCUUAAAAUUGAAAGGCAAAACACAACGCACAGUAUGCGAAUGCCAAAAGUUUAAAUCAAAAUUAUUUAGGGGGCGCCUGGGUGGCUCAGUCGGUUGAGAGUCUGACCUCGGCUCAGGUCACGAUCUCACAGCUCGUGAGUUCGAGCCCCGCGUCGGGCUCUGUGCUGACCGCUCAGAGCCUGGAGCCUGCUUCAGCUUCUGCGUCUCCCUCUCUCUCUCCGCCCCUAACCCACUCGCAUUCUGUCUCUGUCUCUCUCAAAAAUAAAUAAACAUUAAAAUUUUUUUUUAAUGAUUUAGAUAAAAUCAUUUUCGAAAAAUAAAACCACUCGUGGUUCUAGUGUUCAACAUCUGUCAAGCUGCCAGUUGAAGAAUCUCAUCUUGAGAUCCACAUAAAAAAAUUUUUAAAUGUAAUAUGCGCUAAUACUGCAAACCGUUCCCCAGUUACCGUGUGCAUCUGUUGUAAAUACCACACCAGUCUCUGAGCACCCCUAGAACCAGAACCAGGAAUCGAAACUCAAAGAGAAGCAAGGAUGCCUGACUCCAUUGGGAACCGAUACUUGGUUAUGCAACAAUCCAGUCCCGUUAUGCUGGCCGAGAGGAAGGGUUUGACAAAUUAAUCGAUGUGUCCUUUCUGAUCCAAGUAACACAAGUCUAAGUGCACCUCAAAUCCUCCUCGUACUCCAAAGCCAUCUGUACCCACCAGAGUCAGGAACAGUGGAAGCCCUAAACCCUAUCGGCAUCCAGAGGUGGUCUCUUUUGUGGACACGAUGCGGACGUGGAGGUCUGGGUAACGACAGUGGCUGUUUGGGGGCAUGGGUCACACUCUGCCAAGUGCUGAUCAGAUCCCCAGGGAGAGAGUGCCCGUGUGCUCUUCGAUACACUUAUUUGUGUGUGGUUGGCGAUACUGGGGCCCUCGAACCCAGGAGUGGGUACACUUCGUGGGUCCUGGGCCAGAGAGUAAAUAGUUUUGGCUUUGGUCACUACUGCCAUUGCUCAACUGCACCACUAUAAUACAAAAGCAGCCGCAGACAAUUCGUAAAUGAAUGAGCGCAACUGUGUUCUAAUAAAACGUUACUUACCCAAACAGGCUGGAUCUGGUCCAGUUUGCAGGCCCUUCUAACUAACACACGGGGCCCUCUUGUCUGGAUCCAAAGGCAGUCUGGCUGUUCCAGUCCCACAACCCCAUGAGUUUAAGCAUUUCUUAAAGCAAAGGAUUCAAAAGAAAUAGGAACCUUCUGUGUGCAUCGGCUAACACCCGCCCAGUGUUUCGUAGCGCCAUCACAGAGCUGGCAGCCCAUGACCUUGGGCAAGUCAUGGAACCCCGCCCUCUCAGCUUCGUCCCUUCAUCUGUAAAAUGGUCAGCUGUGCUGUUCCCCCUCUCAGAGCAUUACUGAGAAAGUCAAAACAACAGUGGCAAUGAUCACACUUCCCGUCUGCAAAGUGCAUUACAGUUUUCCAAAUUGUUUUCUACUUGACCCUUGUGAGAAUCUUAUGAGGCAGUCAGUCCCAACCCCAUUUUUACACGUGUGGAAACUGUGGGGCACAGAGUAUGUAAAUAACUAGCUGAAGGGCCCCAAACUGGCAACCAGCGGAAACCAGGUCUCAUCCAUACAUGGUAUCCAGGAAGGCACUGUGUCUCUUCAUUCCCAAGGUAAAGCCACUUUUACCCCAACUAUGCGGGAUCUCUGUGUAAAUAUGUCUUGCUCUGUAAAUAAAACCAGUGCUGUUUGAGCCUUUUUUUUCAUCUUAGACCCCUGACCCUCUGGAUUAUAAUUCUUUUAAUAUGGAAACUUAUUGUAGACCCUAGACAAUCUGUCACAAUAUCAGUGACACAUUUGAGUUAUUACUGAACAAACACCAUUUAUACCUGUAUCUUGGGUUGUGCCGGUAGGAACAGAAAACAUGCCAACUUUAUUUUCUCCCCAUCUGGGCUUUUCCAUCAGGCUGCCAAAGAGCGAGCUCGUUGCCAAUUCAGCGGUGAUCACGUAAACAUUGCUUCCUCUAUUAUCUUUCCCCCAAAAUGAUUCUCACCUGUCCAAGUUCAACGUGCACCAUGAGAAGGGCAUUCAGGAAACUCCUCUCUGCCUGAUGGGAUUCACGAUUAGGUCUGAUGCUGCCUCAUUUAUUCAUCAGGGCUGUUGACCAAGUGGUGCACGUUUUGCGACUCUAAAUUCCAAGUCAAAGUUCAAUCUCUUGCAUUUCAGUGGAAUUAGAAUUUGUCAAACAGCUCUUGAAACUGGACUGUUUGACUUCUUUUUUUUUAUUUUUUUAAAAUUUUUUUUUUUUCCACGUUUAUUUAUUUUUGGGACAGAGAGAGACAGAGCAUGAACGGGGGAGGGGCAGAGAGAGAGGGAGACACAGAAUCGGAAACAGGCUCCAGGCUCUGAGCCAUCAGCCCAGAGCCCGACGCGGGGCUCGAACUCACGGACCGCGAGAUCGUGACCUGGCUGAAGCCGGACGCUUAACCGACUGCGCCACCCAGGCGCCCCUGGACUGUUUGACUUCUAAUGUUUACAGAUGUUUCAUAUUUUACUGGUGUUUGUGCUAAGGGGCUGUAAUCAGAAUCAUGUCCAUCACUCAUUAAACAUUUGAUUCUUUCUGAUGUUUUCAAUCCUCUGAGCUCUACGCUUCCUUCAACUCACAUUUAACUUUUCCCUCACAAUGUCUGCCCUUUCUCGUGCAGAUUUGACAACUUUAAUCUUAUGAAGUUCUGCUGACCAACGUGGUAGUCACAGAUCACCUAUGGCUACUUACGGUUAAGUUAAUUACAUUUGAAAAUCGACUUUCUCUAGCCAGAUUUCACGUGCUCAGUAGCUCAUGUGCCAAUGGGUAAACUAUACUGGGCAGCCCAGAUAUAGGGCUUUUUAAUUUUUGUAGAAUGUUCUUUAGAAGGCACUGUAUAAUGGAUUUAGAGACUAAUUUGGACCAACUUCAUAGCUGGUACAAAUUCAUCUGAGAACUGCUCUUGACCCACCUACUUUAUUCUUUUAAACCACCCAUACAAAUACUAAGACCAAGACUCCAGUAACCACAGGGAUCAUUUGCUGAUUAUAUAUCAUGCGCCAUGCAAUGCACUAAACCCUGAGUGUAUACUAUCUCACUGAAUCUCUGUAAUGAGUCAACGUUAUUAUCAAGACUUAUCAGGAACCUGAGGCCCGGGGCCACAUAGUAAGAGGCAGAUUUGAGAUCAAAACCUAUGUUUUUCUGGCUCUAGAGCCUGAGCUCUUAAACACUCAGUGAUACCCAACUCCUCACCCUCGUCUUCCCCUGCCCCCUAUUCUGCUGUGGCCCUGGCUAGACAAGGAUAGGACCUAGGCUGAAUGUCAUGCUGGAGGGGCACUCUGCCCAAAUCAAGGGCAGAGUAGGCAGCAUGAGGGUAUCUAGGUGGGCACAAGAGCCCAGGCUAAUGUUGUGUCAAAAUGAAAAUAGUGUCCUUCGUAACACAACUACUGAAGCUUUUUACCGACUGGAUACUUUUCCACUGAAAACGCCCCAGUAAGAAUAAUCACGAGUGGGUCUGUUGGGAUUGGUUAGUAAAAUCUGGUUAGUAAAAUCUGACAUUAACCCAAAGUUAAUGUCAAUGUUAACGUACAUUCAUGAACAUUAAUGUGUGGGCUGCUGCUUCUUUGUAUUGUUUUUCAUUGUUUCCUUUUUUGGAAGCACUGAUUUCAUUCCACAGGUCCCAUGUGCCAGCUAUCAUUAUAGUCUGGGUUUCAAACUCUUUGUUUCUCUGGGACAACUCUCGGAGAUGACUGGUCACUGCCGCUUGUUCACAACAAACAGUCCCUCUGUCUGCCCUGAAUGCUGACUUCUUACUUUGAAGCUUAAGUUGAGCUUUGUUUUUAAUGCAAACCCAUCUACAGAUUAGAGAGCCAGAAAUUGGGUCUCUGGGAGGCAGCCUGGAGGGUUCCUUGAGCUCAUGGUAAAAACUCCGUAUUUCACAUCAGUCACAGAUCUCUCACUAGCCUUUCUUUCCUAGCCUUCCUUUCUUCCCUUUUAAUUUUCUUUCUUUCACAGGAUUCUUUGAAACUUGACGUGCUAGCUGUCAAGACUACUAAAUUAAUACUUUUUUUUUUUUAUAGGUCAUAACCUUGCUGGAGUGAGCAAAUCCAAAUCGGAACAAGUAACACAGAGCGUUCAUCCAAAUAAGUUUUCACACAUAGCAGGCGAGGCCCAGGAUGCAGGGGACAUUUCCUUGCAAUCGAACAGUGCUAUACGAUCUCUAGAAUCUGACGUGGCCGCCUCAAACCCACUCUAACAGGAAAGGUGCUAGGGGGCAGAAUGAAGAACCACAUGAACCUGCCUCCCAGGACCAUGAUAUCUUGGAUCUGAAUAUGGUGUUCCAGCUCGUCAUUAGACCAGUCAUUAGGCAUCCACCUGGCAUAUCCAACACACUGGGUAAUUAGCAGUAAUGAGUAAGAACACAAGAACAGACCAAUUAAACACCAUCUACCUAUUAGUCAUAUUUGAAAGCUACCAGUCACCAAAGACCAGCCAAAUCCUGUCCGUAAUCAAGAAUUUGAAAAAGAUCUAUUGAGAAGACAGACUUUUGAGAUGAUGAUGUCAGACGGGGUUGAACUGCAUGAGUCAGAAUGGAAAUUCACUAGGUCAACAGACAGCGCGGAUACUAUAAGAUAAUACGAUUUGGAAGCGCCAGAACCAGCCGGCUGGGGCACAAAAGAAUCCUGUGGCCAAAGCUGAAUUUCAAGAUAUCAAGACUCGGGCAAAAUUGUUACCAGACUUAAUAACGUUGAGUGUACUGUAGGGCCUGAGAAUCACGGACCAUGCCUAUUUUUACUUCCCAUUGUAUUCCCAGCACCAAACAGCACCCAGCAUAUUCGGUAGGUUCGUUCAGUAAGUUUUUGCAAAUGAACGAAGUAAUAAAUCAAUGAAGUGCCAUUUUGUUUUCUAUCCUUUGUCACAAGGACCGCCCCUUCUUGGUCAAAUGUCUCCAGGGUAUCCUGAGAAGUCUUGUGGCUUCCCAGGUGUUCCAAAUGGGCACACCUCCGUAAGCACAGUUCUUCAAGCAUUGCUGUUGUGUC
rnacentral:lncRNA from 1 species